ACCCUUCCGCCUCUGUCCUCUGCUCUCCACGACAGAGAUUGAAUCUGGGCUUAACGGGUAUAUCCACAUCUUGUGGGUGUCCAGAGAAAGCUGAGUGGUGGAAGUCUGCAGAAAGAUCAAAGAGUAAGCUACAAGAAAACAAGCAGACGCUUCAGUGUUAGAGCUAAUGUAAAGGAGAUUGCUUACGACCAGAGCUCCAGAGCUGCUCUUCAAGCUGGUAUCGACAAGCUUGCUGAUGCUGUUGGUCUCACUCUUGGCCCUAUAGGGACGAAUGUUGUGUUGGAUGAGUUUGGAAGUCCCAAGGUUGUGAAUGAUGGAGUCACCAUUACUAGGGCUAUUGAGUUACCUGACGCCAUGGAGAAUGCUGGUGCAGCACUUAUCCGUGAGGUUGCAAGUAAAACUAAUGACUCUGCUGGUGAUGGGACAACCACUGCGUCUGUCUUGGCUCGGGAAAUCAUCAAGCACAGAUUGCUGGAAUGGAGAUAGCGUUUGCAUUUGCCACAUACUACUCACUUUUGGAACUCAAUUCCAGUGUACGUCUUGUUACAAUUGCUUAUCAAAUUGCUGAAGAGACCAUGGUAUCCAUUAUUGAUUUUGUAGUAUCCAUUAUGACGCAUUGCCAAAC